AAGUCGUAACAAGGUUUCCGUAGGUGAACCUGCGGAAGGAUCAUUAUUGAAUUUUAAUGAAGAGUUUGGUUGUAGCUGGCCCAUUUAUUUGGGCAUGUGCACACCUUCCUCUUUCAUCCCACACACACCUGUGAACCUGUGAGACAGAUGGGGAAUUUACUUGUUGCUUUUUGGAAUACAAAGGCAAUAGGUUAUUGGACCCUCUGUCUACUCAAUUAAUAUAAACUCAAUUAAUUUUAAAACGAAUGUAAUGGAUGUAACACAUCUCAUACUAAGUUUCAACAACGGAUCUCUUGGCUCUC
rnacentral:misc_RNA from 1 species